CAAUAGCGUAUAUUAAAGCUGUUGCGGUUAAAAAGCUCGUAGUUGGAUUUCUGUCAAGGACAACUGGUCCGCCCCUCGGGUGAGCACAUAGUUUGGUCUUGGCAUCUUGUUGGAAACUGUUGCUGCACUUGGUUGUGUGGCGCAGUGUCCAGCACUUUCACUUUGAGGAAAUUGGAGUGUUUCAAGCAGGCACAUGCCUUUGGACACAGUAGCAUGGAAUAAUUAGAUUGGGCUUUUGCUCCAACUUGUCGGUUUCUGGAGCUGAGGUGAGAAUUAAUGGGGAUUGUUGGGGGCAUCCGAAUUUAGCCGUCAGAGGUGAAAUUCUUGGAUCUGCUAAAGACGGACAACUGCGAAAACGCUUGCCCAGGAUGUUUUCAUUGA
rnacentral:rRNA from 1 species